UCCCGGUAGAGGAUGUGUUUCUGAAGUCUCAUCUUCGCAGCAUCUGCCCAAGUGAAGAGAAAGGGGUACCAGGUAGCUGAGCACAUCCUCCCUCCAUAGCAUCCUCAGAGGAUUUCAAUUGACACUGCUUCUCCAGAAAACCUUGAAAGGGUUUAAGAAUGUGUCCCCAGCGGAUCCCUGCAAGGUCAAUGUAGAACUGGCCCUGGAUGGAGUCACUCGGGGAAGGGCAGUGUUUCUCCAUCUCGUCCCAGGUCACUGCUGAUGUGAAGGAGAGGAACUUGGGAGCAUCCACGUGAACAAUCUCUCUUUGGCCUUAAAGGGCUGCGUUGCCCUGAAAGAGCCACAGCUCAGGGAGGCUGCUCUUGAGAUCACAAGUUCUAACCGAACAUAGAAACCCCGUUCUGUAGCUGUCGCAUGAUGUUUAGUGGCUACCUGGAUGGCUUAGAAGACACUGUAAUCGAACUCCAAGGGCUCUCAAGUCUAUGAAUGUAAAGACACACCACGCAGAUGAUGAUACAUACAGAGAUGAGAAAGAUUUAAUACCCUCAGCAGGGAUAAAGACAGUUCUGGAAACUCCUUGUGUGUGAUGGCUGCGGUUACCCUGAACAAAUCUCACCCCCCAAGAAGAGGUGACGUCAGAGGUGGUGCCCAGCUCGCAGCUCCAAGGCUCCCUCCUGAUAGAGCCUGCGUCUUCAGAGAUGCAUCAGUGACGCUGCUGAUGCACGAGAGUGCAUGGCUGUUUCCAUGUACUGCUUCGCCGAGUUCUGCAAGGAUCUGCCUCCCCACUUGCAGAGCACAGAGGUGUCCAGGUGGCACUAACUGCCCCCACCCCUCCUCCAGGCUUUUUUCUGCUGUUACAGGACGCCCAGGCCCUGUGCUUGUUGGCAUUUGUUCUGUCAGGCUUCAAGCUUUUUCCCUUGGAAGCCUUUUAAGAGCCAAACCCUCACCAUUUGCUGAAUAAAACUUUCCCAGGGUUAAAACACUCUUUGUGCUAGGGAAUAAAGACAAAAUAAAGGGUUCAGGUCCUCUGUGGGGCCACCCGGUUACACUCAACUGCUGCUGCAUGCACACAGCUCAGAGUGGCCCUUCUCACAGUGUCCUCCCAUGUUGUCUUCCCCCAUAGCCUAAUGAGGAAUGGCUACAGAUUCACCCGCAGAGCACAUAAAUCUUUGUUGUACCUUUGGAAGUGCACAUGAGCGGGUCAUCAGGUAGACCUGUGCCGAUAGGUGUGCUGUGCAGGUCACCUCGGGAUUAGACAGGUUAGAGAUUGCUUCACAGACAGAAACCGCCAAACAUUGGGGGCAAAAUUACUCUUCUGUGGUCACAAACUGAAAACCUCUGAAUUUGUACAUUUUUAGAUGGGUGACUGGCAUACUUGUCUCCUUGGAGGAAGGCAUUAUGUGGCCUAUUUCUCCAAAUAGCCAGAGGAGGAGACUUCAAGUAGUAGAAAUGCAGAGAUGAUUGGACUGCUAAACUGCCUGUAACCAGGCCCAGGCCCAGGUUUUCAGCUUUCAUGGACUGUCACCCAAGUUUGGGUGGGUCUUCUGGUGGGAAACAUGCCUUUUUUUUCCCCUUAAAGUCAUUGCUGUACCUUGUAUGUAACACCACGUCAAUAUUCCUGGCAGUGACCCCAA